rnacentral:rRNA from 1 species
GCCCUUAAGGGCGAAUUCGCCCUUAGAGUUUGAUCCUGGCUCAGGAUGAACGCUGGCGGUAUGCUUUACACAUGCAAGUCGUACGAGAGUUUUUAACUCAAGUGGCGGACGGGUGAGUAACACGUAAGAAUUUGCCUUUAGGAGGGGGAUAACAACUGGAAACGGUUGCUAAUACCCCAUAUGCUUUCGAGUAAAAUGGAUUUUCCGCCUAAAGAGAAGCUUGCGGCUGAUUAGCUUGUUGGUGAGGUAAUGGCUCACCAAGGCGACGAUCAGUAUCUGGUUUGAGAGGACGAUCAGACACACUGGAACUGAGACACGGUCCAGACUCCUACGGGAGGCAGCAGUGGGGAAUUUUCCGCAAUGGGCGAAAGCCUGACGGAGCAAUACCGCGUGAGGGAUGACGGCCUAUGGGUUGUAAACCUCUUUUUUCAGGGAGGAAUCAAUGACGUGUACCUGAAGAAUAAGCAUCGGCUAACUCCGUGCCAGCAGCCGCGGUAAGACGGAGGAUGCAAGUGUUAUCCGGAAUCACUGGGCGUAAAGCGUCUGUAGGUGGUCAAAUAAGUCAACUGUUAAAUCUUGAGGCUCAACCUCAAAAUCGCAGUCGAAACUAUUCGACUAGAGUAUAGUAGGGGUAAAGGGAAUUUCCAGUGGAGCGGUGAAAUGCGUAGAGAUUGGAAAGAACACCGAUGGCGAAGGCACUUUACUGGGCUAUUACUAACACUGAGAGACGAAAGCUAGGGUAGCAAAUGGGAUUAGAUACCCCAGUAGUCCUAGCCGUAAACAAUGGAUACUAGAUGUUGAACAGAUCGACCUGUGCAGUAUCAAAGCUAACGCGUUAAGUAUCCCGCCUGGGAAGUAUGCUCGCAAGAGUGAAACUCAAAUGAAUUGACGGGGAAGGGC